rnacentral:misc_RNA from 1 species
UCCAAACAAAUUCUGCAUGUACCAUCCUAGCUCCUCUUAACUUCAGUCCUUUUGUACAAUAUGCUAACAACUCAUUGGAUUCUAAUUGGGCCUUAAUCCAAGUGCUAGGUGGAUGCAAAUAACUAUCACAUUCAGGGCAAUGUCUAAUGAUUACAUGCUUCUGCAAACCUUCAGUGAUAUCCACUUCUGAGCGCAAACACUUAACACACAUGUUGGCAGCAUUUGGUUGCAUGGGAAUGCCACAUUUACAACAUAAAACACUUCCAAUGGUUUGACGAAUCACAAACAUGCCUGCUGCUUCAGCCAUGGCCGAUUGAUUUGAAGACCCAAACGGCAGGCGAAAUUUGGGAAGGAGAAAGUGAGGGACAAUUAGAAA